UCCACCUUUUUUGGCUUGUGGCAGAGGUCUUCCAUGCCCCUUUUUAGGUAAAAGUUAUACAUUAUACAUUCUAAGAUUCUCCAGCCUUUCACUAUGUAGUAGUCUCUGGUUAUAAGACUGUCCCAGAAGCAUCUGCUGCAUCCAAAUAACCCCAUUUUAUUUAAUAAUGGCCCUUAAGCACAAAAGUGAUGCUGGAAAUUCAAACACACCAAGGAAAAGCCAUCAAGUUCUUCCUCUAAUGUGAAGGGUAAAAGUGUGGUCUCCUGACAGGUAAAGACCCUCUGGGGCUUUACAUUUGGGGGCUCAUCUGGGAUCUGAGACUCCAGCCUCCAACAUGGGCACUCAAGACCAGCUCCUGGAUUAGAGGACCAGGCUCAAGCUCAAGUCUGAGUGUCUGAAGUGUGAAGAGUUCUGGCUGUCAGGAAAAAGGAAACGUGGGAGGAAGGAUCCAGACCUGAGAAGUUGAUCCUCCAAGACCCUUCAACAUCAGACCCAGGACAAUUUCCCAGAAACAACUCUGAUAAAAUACUUCUCAGAAAAGCCAUAAAUUGUACUGGCUGAAGGACACCUGCCGGGGCCCUCUGGAGAACAAAGACACCCUCCCAGGAUGACUGCUGUUACUAUAAUCUGCCCUCUAAAACAACAUAUAAAGGUGUUUGUAAGAUAGAA